UCCCUCAUAGCUCAGUCGGUAAAGAAUCUGCCUGCCAGGCAGAAGACCCGGGUUCAAUUCCUGAGUCGGGAA
rnacentral:tRNA from 1 species